UACGGGGGGGGCAAGCGUUGUUCGGAAUUACGGGGCGUAAAGGGCUCGUAGGCGGCCAACUAAGUCGGACGUGAAAUCCCCAGGCUCAACCUGGGAACUGCGUCCGAUACUGGAUGGCUUGAAUUCGGGAGAGGGAUGCAGAAUUCCAGGUGUAGCGGUGAAAUGCGUAGAUAUCUGGAGGAAUACCGGUGGCGAAGGCGGCAUCCUGGACCGACAUUGACGCUGAGGAGCGAAAGCUAGGGGAGCAAACGGG
rnacentral:rRNA from 1 species